UGAAGAGUUUGAUCAUGGCUCAGAUUGAACGCUGGCGGCAGGCCUAACACAUGCAAGUCGAACGGUAACAGGAAGCAGCUUGCUGCUUCGCUGACGAGUGGCGGACGGGUGAGUAAUGUCUGGGAAACUGCCUGAUGGAGGGGGAUAACUACUGGAAACGGUGGCUAAUACCGCAUAACGUCGCAAGACCAAAGAGGGGGACCUUCGGGCCUCUUGCCAUCAGAUGUGCCCAGAUGGGAUUAGCUUGUUGGUGAGGUAACGGCUCACCAAGGCGACGAUCCCUAGCUGGUCUGAGAGGAUGACCAGCCACACUGGAACUGAGACACGGUCCAGACUCCUACGGGAGGCAGCAGUGGGGAAUAUUGCACAAUGGGCGCAAGCCUGAUGCAGCCAUGCCGCGUGUAUGAAGAAGGCCUUCGGGUUGUAAAGUACUUUCAGCGGGGAGGAAGGUGUUGUGGUUAAUAACCGCAGCAAUUGACGUUACCCGCAGAAGAAGCACCGGCUAACUCCGUGCCAGCAGCCGCGGUAAUACGGAGGGUGCAAGCGUUAAUCGGAAUUACUGGGCGUAAAGCGCACGCAGGCGGUCUGUCAAGUCGGAUGUGAAAUCCCCGGGCUCAACCUGGGAACUGCAUUCGAAACUGGCAGGCUUGAGUCUUGUAGAGGGGGGUAGAAUUCCAGGUGUAGCGGUGAAAUGCGUAGAGAUCUGGAGGAAUACCGGUGGCGAAGGCGGCCCCCUGGACAAAGACUGACGCUCAGGUGCGAAAGCGUGGGGAGCAAACAGGAUUAGAUACCCUGGUAGUCCACGCCGUAAACGAUGUCUACUUGGAGGUUGUGCCCUUGAGGCGUGGCUUCCGGAGCUAACGCGUUAAGUAGACCGCCUGGGGAGUACGGCCGCAAGGUUAAAACUCAAAUGAAUUGACGGGGGCCCGCACAAGCGGUGGAGCAUGUGGUUUAAUUCGAUGCAACGCGAAGAACCUUACCUGGUCUUGACAUCCACAGAACUUUCCAGAGAUGGAUUGGUGCCUUCGGGAACUGUGAGACAGGUGCUGCAUGGCUGUCGUCAGCUCGUGUUGUGAAAUGUUGGGUUAAGUCCCGCAACGAGCGCAACCCUUAUCCUUUGUUGCCAGCGAUUAGGUCGGGAACUCAAAGGAGACUGCCAGUGAUAAA
rnacentral:rRNA from 1 species